GUGGGGGCGCGCAUGCGCGGGGCGGUGCGCAGGCUCUUGCGGGCAGGCCGGGACUGGUUAUACCGAGACCUCGUGGCGCAACGGUAGCGCGUCUGACUCCAGAUCAGAAGGCUGCGUGUUCGAAUCACGUCGGGGUCACGGCUCCCUUCGGGGUUCCCUUUUACGCCGGGCAAAGCGGGGCCGGUUUCGGGGCGCUACUCUCAAGGACACUGUAGGAAAACAAUUUUAGACGGAGUAAUUUUUCAGAGUUGCUAGAUUUCAACUGCUUUGAUACCAUUGGGAAAUACCCAAUCUUUUCAAUAUACAGAUCAUAGACAGAUGUGACCCCAAAGCGCUCAGGAAAUGUGAGCGGUAUUUGGUCCCAGGGGAUGCCAGAGUACCAUACGCGUGGGCGCUUGUGUUGUACAGACUCGGAGGGAACUUUGGCAACAGGCUGUGAGAGGAUAAACAAAGCUGCACCACCAGUAACUGGAGCACAGCUUUGAAACAAUCCUGGGUGAUGAUGCUUGUCUCUGGUGACGCUACGUGAAGAGAAGGAUUUUUUCUUUCCAAGUGAAAUUUCUUUCCAAUUGACUUAACUACUGGGUGUUGUGGGAAGUUAUGACAUCAGAGAGUAGUUGCUAAUACCGAACAGUGGGGUAAGGGAAAGGAUACCCUUCCAGCACCCUCUCUCACUGCUUUAAUUAGCAAUCAGGACUCCAGCUGAUUCUGAGAGAAGACAGAAGUACUGGAGUAACCUUUGAAACAAAAGACUUCAAAGUGACAGCAGCCUGUGCCUCUGGCUAUGCUGAAAUGAGUGGAACGUCUAGUGAUGGAACUGGUGAAGAUGACUGAGGUGAAGCAUGCUUUUCUGAUUCUUUGCCUCCCGGGGGAAUCAGAUCCGGCAGGAAAAGGCCGAAGAAAGAGAGGAGGCAGUCACCAGCUCAGAAGAAUAUGAAGACAGCUGAACUGGAAAAAAGAGACAUUGAUGCUGGAAACUGGGAAGAACCGAGCAGAAAUAGCACAGGAAGAGAUCACUCAAAGUUUGAUAUCCACACAUGCCUGUGAGGAUCGUGAUAUUUGCCAUCGUUGUGUUUGUGAUCUUCGUGCAUAUCAUUAAUGGAGGCUAAUAUGAAUAGUCUGCUCAUAAACCUCAUUCUGCGAAGAAAAUAAAAGCACUGUCCUGAUGACAUAAGCGGCAUUUAGUGGUGACUACAAAACCAAAGAAUGCACUUUUUUCUCCCUGCUACUUGUGAACAAGCUCUUCAGGCAGUGAAUUAAAAGGCUAGUAGGAGGGUGAAAACAGCCUGUGACUUGUCUUUGCCUGGUGUUCACUAUAUACAGUAGCUCCUAACUCUUGGAAAUGUGACGUGCUAUACUGUUUCUCCUUUGCUGAAGCCACGUUCGCACAUUUUGUGCCCCAGCUAGAGAGUUUAAUCAGUUGGAGGUGUUUGGAGUUCUGUGUGGCUUGGUUUUUCUGAAGCUGCCUGUGGCUGGGAUUACUGCAUCCUUGAGAACUUACAGCUUCUCUGUGCUCUGGUUAUCUUAUAUCGGAGAAACAGCAGAUAUAAAUUGAGGGAACAAAUUGCUUGCCAAUCUGGCAAGACAGGGAAUGGCUCUAGCGUAAUACAAGCCAUGAGGGAUCAAAGGAGGAGUUACUAUAUCUUAACCACUUCUGGAAAAACGUUCUUGCCCCUUCAAGUCUAUAAAUGUUACUGAAAAGGGGAGAAUGGUGGAAGUGAGGAUCUCCCAUUGUUGGCCUGCUACUCUUCAUCUGAGGAGGACCUGAUUUUGUGUGCAAUGUUCUCAUAAAUCAUGACACUCAAAUUUAAAUGACUUAUGGGUUAAGAUCAAGCUGAGGCCUUUUAUUAUCUUUUCACAGGAGAAAUGCAGAACUUUGAGCCUGGCACAUAAUCUGAAGAAAAGCACUGCAGCACCCUAAAAUUGCUGAAGGCAUUUGAUUUAAAAACUGCUGUUUUUUUCCUGUUGUCUGUGCCAGCUUUGCCAAGAAAGAAAAUUUUGUUUCCCUAGAUUUGACACUUUGGUUUAAGAGGAAAAUCCUCCCUGUGUAAGUCAUAAUGCAAAAAGCUAGUGGUAUGAGAUACUGAAUGGUUUCCGUAACUUCUAAGAUAUUUUGCUUCAUCUUUAAGAUGUGUGCACUUUGUAAUCUUUACCUUGCAUCUUGGGAAUGGCUUUAAUGUGAGGUAAGAAGUUACCUCUUUUUCUAAGUAGGAUAAAUGGUAAUAAAUGAAAAAGUGGGGGGUUGACUCCUGUAACAGUCUAAGUAAAUGGAAUUAAGGUGGCUGGCUUUCCACCAAGGUGUGGCGUUAGCUCUCUGUUCUCAAAUGUUUCCUGCUUUGUGAAGCUCAUUUUCCAGUUUAGCAAGUGCGAUGAAAGCUGGAAUGUGCUAUGUCUUUGCUUGAUGUUGCAUUCAUAGGAAAAUAAUUUUUAGCUGCUUCAAAUUGCUAUGUAAAUACGAUUGCUUCCCUGUUAAGUAACUGAUAGACCCUGUCAGUUCUAGUUCACACUCUGAGGCUUUGCUCUUUGCUGCUUAUAUGCCCCCACUCUGUCUAGCCAUCUUGCACUUCCUCAGCAAAACCUUGUUCUGAAUGAUCCAGCUGAUGCGUGGUAGCUUUGAUCUGGUUAUUCAGGGUGGUGGUGAAGGGCUGUAUAGUCAUGCCAUUCCUUCUAACUAACUUCAGAGCCUUGUUCUUAUCGGGGAAACAAAGUUGUCAUUUAUUCCUCUCAUUUGAAGAUGUAUGAAAUGAGGUGUAAUUCUUCCUUCUUAGCAUCAGCUAUCUCACCUGGAGAGCACUGUGGGGUAGCCAACAUGCAUUUUCCCUUUCUGUUUUUCUGUCCUGAAUUUAGUGGAUUAUUCUAGUCCCUCCUUUCAGUUGAGGAUGGCAAAGCAUUGGCUCCAGGGAUGAGGAUUUUUGGAAUCCUCCUGGCGAUGGAUAACAGAAACAUUAAUCUCCUGCUGUUCAACUUGCUAGGGGUGUGUGCUCUUGUGUUGAAGGAUAUGUGCUGUUCUGAUAUGCUAUAUGAAAUAAGUGUGUUACUGCCCAACACUGUUUUAUUGGGUCUUGUCUUUGAUAUAAA